rnacentral:rRNA from 1 species
UACGUAGGUGACCAGCGUUGUCCGGAUUUACUGGGCGUAAAGAGCGCGCAGGCGGUCGUUCAAGUCGAGUGUGAAAGCCCCCGGCUCAACCGUGGAGGGUCAUUGGAAACUGGGGGACUUGAGUACAGAAGAGAAGAGUGGAAUUCCUGGUGUAGCGGUGAAAUGCGCAGAUAUCAGGAGGAACACCGGUGGCGAAGGCGGUGGUCUGGGGCCGGCACUGACGCUGAGGAGCGAAAGCGUGGGGAGCAAACAGG